rnacentral:misc_RNA from 1 species
GAUGAAGAACGUAGCGAAAUGCGAUAAGUAAUGUGAAUUGCAGAAUUCAGUGAAUCAUCGAAUCUUUGAACGCACAUUGCGCCCCCUGGUAUUCCGGGGGGCAUGCCUGUCCGAGCGACAUUACAACCCUCAAGCUCAGCUUGGUGUUGGGCCCCGCCGCCCCGGCGGGCCCUAAAGUCAGUGGCGGUGCCGUCCGGCUCCGAGCGUAGUAAUUCUUCUCGCUCUGGAGGUCCGGUCGUGUGCUCGCCAGCAACCCCCAAUUUUUUUCAGGUUGACCUCGGAUCAGGUAGGGAUACCCGCUGAACUUAAGCAUAUCAAUAAGCGGAGGA